UACGGAGGGUGCAAGCGUUAAUCGGAAUUACUGGGCGUAAAGCGCACGCAGGCGGUUUGUUAAGCUAGAUGUGAAAGCCCCGGGCUCAACCUGGGAUGGUCAUUUAGAACUGGCAGACUAGAGUCUUGGAGAGGGGAGUGGAAUUCCAGGUGUAGCGGUGAAAUGCGUAGAUAUCUGGAGGAACAUCAGUGGCGAAGGCGGCCCCCUGGACAAAGACUGACGCUCAGGUGCGAAAGCGUGGGGAGCAAACAGG
rnacentral:misc_RNA from 1 species